CGCCAGCCGGCACAAUGACUUCCAGCUGGAGCAGCCCAGCCAGCCCGCGCGCUCGCUGCUCGCGCUGGGCUUAAGAGCGCGGGGGUGGGUUUCUUUCUUUUUUUUCUUUCUCUCUCUCCCUCUCUCUUCUUUUUCUGGCUCCUGCGGGUUCCCCCUGCCGGGAAAUGCACUCGCUCUAGUUUUCUAGGGCUCAGGUCCCAGUCUCCUCCGAAGCGCGCUUUGCAGGCGCCCUUCCUCCGUCUCGGUCUCCCUGGGCUCUGUGUUUUGCUGGGCAACAUCCCAUGCUAGGCUCGGCAGACCUACUGGCGGUUGGGUUCGGCCCUUGCAGCGCUAACACCUGCAGAGUCGGAGUCUCCUGCCAAAAGGCAUAAAGCAAAGGAGGAAAAAUUCAUGGCCACAAUAACGAAAAUGAUAAACCUCUGCUGUCUUAGAGAAGAAUGUCUGAGUAGGUACUGAUUACCUCCCACCAUCACACAACAACUUUCUUUAAAAGAAUUUGCACUGUGCCCUGUUAAAACGCGAUGGUUCUUAUUUUGCUUUUAAAUCGGACUUCAUGACAGUUAGGAACUUAAAGUUGGGAAUUGAACUCUUCCAAAUGGAUAAAUCUUUCCAGAACAGAAAAAAAAAAUCUGGUAACUUCAUUUCUGGAUUAAGUCCAUAAGUGAGAACUAAGGGCAGUCCUCCCAUGGAUAGGCUAAAUCUGCAUUGUUGAAGGGCUCAUCUACAGGAUGAAUGAGCCCCGAAGAUACAAACUCCCUUCCCACCUCUUACAAAAAUACUUCCAGCGAAAACAAGCACUUUGGGCCUUUCUACUUUCUAUUAGUUCACAUUUCAGCAGACCCUUCUUUGCUUUCUUAUUUAAGUUUAUGUCUUUAGUCCAGUCCUCAAACAGAUUUUAAACGCUUUGAAGGCGGAGGACUCAUCCCUAAAACCUUUAAAUCUCCUGCCUGGCCGAAUAGAUGCACAGUUAGACAUGCUGCCAUUUUACCAGGAAAUGUUGACAAACCUCUAGCAGAAUGCAACCGGAUAUCUCUUCCCCUCAUGGGCGAAGCCAGGCAAGCUGAGUCUGGUGACUUGUCCAGGACCCCCAUGGGGGCUGAGAGAUGCAUCUCUUAAGGAUUUCUCAAGUGCCGUCUUGAGGAAAUAAGAAGGGCUUACGUUUCCCAAAUAUAUUUUUGGGAGUCUCCUGGUUUCUCCGAUGAUCAAAUCCUACUCUGAGGAAGGCAAGCGUGAUGAUGACAGGUGUGCCUCACGAGGAAACCGAGGCCCACGGAUUGAGCGGCCUCGCUAUUCAGCCAUGGAGGCCGGAAGCCUGGGCCCCAUCCAUCCUAUGCGUGAAGCCAACGCAUCACCAGGAGCAUGGAGGGGAUCCCCCAGCCUGGCAUCGGGGGCGGGAAGCUCAAGGUCACUGCAGCUGGAGCUGAACCUGGGCCAGUACCUGUGGGGCUCACAUCUACUUGGAGCUUCUGGGAGAGGCUCCGGUAGGACGCCCCUUUUGGCAAAUAGUAAGUCUUCGGUAGGUGUGCCCUACGGAUUCACCAGGUGAAAGGAACCCGGCCAGUGUCGCCUGGGUUCAGUCCCAGUCUGGGAGAGGCCCUCUGCGUCCUUUGGUAGUAUCUGCUGAACAGUCUGCUGUUAAACAACACAUCCCCGCUGCUUUGCCCUGGCAGCGGUCUGCUAAGAGGCGAGAGUAACAGCCCUCGUUGGUUGCGGGCUUGCUAGGAGAGAAAGUGCUUUGCUUCUACUGCCUCAUUAAGACCUCUGAGGUCACUCCAAAAUUGCAGAAGGGGACAACGAGGCUGGGUGAGGUCGAGGGAGAUGCCUGGAGUCAUCCAGUCAGUAAUGAGCCAGAGCCGGGCCCGGGGCCACAUGGAAGUGGGCAUGUUUGACACUUCUUAAUUCCAUUUGCUUUUAGCCAGGGCGGGAAGGAAGGUCACGGAACACUGUGCUUGGAAACUGGUUUUGCCGUGCUGAAGAUGCCUCUGUUGAACUUCCUCUGCCAAUGAGUGGGGUCCUGCUUGCCUUCCGCUAAUUACUUGUGCGGGCAGUCUUGCACUUGAAUAUCACCUCACCUCUGAGACUCUCCCAAGGUGAUUAGACUGCAUCCGGAGGUGAGGAAAAUUCUUUCUAAGCAUUAGUGCUUAAUGGACUUCAGCUCAAGGCAACUGAACCACCUACAGUGUACCCAGCAUUGUCCUGGGCCCCAGGAAAAUAAAGGUAAAUUAAAACCGGCCUGAGAUUCGGAGGUAACACUGCAUUCAAAUGAAGCACAUGGACAUGUUCUAGAUAAACACUGAUACGUGACAAUACAUGGAAUCAAUAAUGCAAAUAAUAGGCAAUUAUGAAUAAUUUGAUAAAAUGUGCUGCAUAAUGUAGAACAAUGAUCAGUCAGAAAAGUGUCAGGUAGGAUUUGAGUAGUACCAAGGACGGUGUGAGAAGAGCCUUUCCCCUGGUAUUCAUGGCAAAUUUGUCUGAAAGAGUUCAUUUGCUCCUUAAAGCUACAUUAAAAAAAAAAAAAAAAAAAAAAAA